rnacentral:rRNA from 1 species
UUAGAGUUUGAUCCUGGCUCAGGAUGAACGCUAGCGGCAGGCUUAACACAUGCAAGUCGAGGGGCAGCGAGAUCAGUGCUUGCACUGAUUGUCGGCGACCGGCGCACGGGUGCGUAACGCGUAUGCAACCUACCCAUUACAGGGGGGAUAACACUGAGAAAUCGGUACUAAUACCCCAUAACAUCCAGGGAGGCAUCUUCUUGGGUUGAAAACUCCGGUGGUAAUGGAUGGGCAUGCGUUGUAUUAGUUAGUUGGUGGGGUAACGGCUCACCAAGACAACGAUACAUAGGGGGACUGAGAGGUUAACCCCCCACAUUGGUACUGAGACACGGACCAAACUCCUACGGGAGGCAGCAGUGAGGAAUAUUGGUCAAUGGACGCAAGUCUGAACCAGCCAUGCCGCGUGCAGGAAGACGGCUCUAUGAGUUGUAAACUGCUUUUGUACGAGGGUAAACGCAGAUACGCGUAUCUGUCUGAAAGUAUCGUACGAAUAAGGAUCGGCUAACUCCGUGCCAGCAGCCGCGGUAAUACGGAGGAUUCAAGCGUUAUCCGGAUUUAUUGGGUUUAAAGGGUGCGUAGGCGGUCGGAUAAGUUAGAGGUGAAAUCCCGGGGCUCAACUUCGGAAUUGCCUCUGAUACUGUUCGGCUAGAGAGUAGUUGCGGUAGGCGGAAUGUAUGGUGUAGCGGUGAAAUGCUUAGAGAUCAUACAGAACACCGAUUGCGAAGGCAGCUUACCAAGCUACUUCUGACGUUGAGGCACGAAAGCGUGGGGAGCAAACAGGAUUAGAUACCCUGGUAGUCCACGCAGUAAACGAUGAUAACUCGUUGUCGGCGAUACAGUGUCGGUGACUAAGCGAAAGCGAUAAGUUAUCCACCUGGGGAGUACGUUCGCAAGAAUGAAACUCAAAGGAAUUGACGGGGGCCCGCACAAGCGGAGGAACAUGUGGUUUAAUUCGAUGAUACGCGAGGAACCUUACCCGGGCUUGAAAGUUAGUGACGGAUCUUGAAAGAGGUCUUCCCUUCGGGGCACGAAACUAGGUGCUGCAUGGUUGUCGUCAGCUCGUGCCGUGAGGUGUCGGGUUAAGUCCCAUAACGAGCGCAACCCCUACCGUUAGUUGCCAGCAGGUCAAGCUGGGCACUCUGACGGGACUGCCGGUGUAAGCCGAGAGGAAGGUGGGGAUGACGUCAAAUCAGCACGGCCCUUACGUCCGGGGCUACACACGUGUUACAAUGGCAGGUACAGAGGGCAGCUACCCAGCGAUGGGAUGCGAAUCUCGAAAGCCUGUCUCAGUUCGGAUUGGAGGCUGAAACCCGCCUCCAUGAAGUUGGAUUCGCUAGUAAUCGCGCAUCAGCCAUGGCGCGGUGAAUACGUUCCCGGGCCUUGCACACAACGCCCGUCAAG